rnacentral:rRNA from 1 species
UAGCGUUAUUCGGAAUUACUGGGCGUAAAGCGCACGUAGGCGGCUUUGUAAGUUAGAGGUGAAAGCCUGGAGCUCAACUCCAGAACUGCCUUUAAGACUGCAUCGCUUGAAUCCAGGAGAGGUGAGUGGAAUUCCGAGUGUAGAGGUGAAAUUCGUAGAUAUUCGGAAGAACACCAGUGGCGAAGGCGGCUCACUGGACUGGUACUGACGCUGAGGCGCGAAAGCGUGGGGAGCAAACAGG